GCUGCUCAUGGGGUAGUAUUGGGGCUUAGAGCAUAUGGUCUAGACCUGCUCUAUGUGAAAAGAUGAGAUAACUUCUGGUGUGAUUUGGCGCUAUAUAAAUAGAACUGACUUGACUUGACUCUAUACUAACCAUCCCACAACACAUUGUCUUGAAACAGAGUCCUAGUGUACAAUGAGGAAUGAGAGCAGAGAGGAGUGAUGGGGAAUUUCAAUUUACACCUCUGCACCAUAUGGCAGCAUAUGAUGUAAUACUGAUGACUGUCUCUUACGACAGUAAUCCCACUUCUGUUCAAGACAAUGGUGGGUGACUGGCAGUUGGAACACUUCAAGGCUUAGACCGGCAUGAAACUCUCCUGGUUGAAUCAUCGGUGCAAAUGAUGAAGAACUGCACCAGAAGAUAUAUAAGCUAGGACUCCCAAAGCAUAUUUUGGUAGAAACCAUCCAAUCACCAAGCUCCAAAUUUUUUUUUGUGCACCACCAACGGCAAGUGGGAGGUGGUGCCACAGACCUGACACAACAUCCAAUUGACGCUGUUUGACUCCAGAAGAGGGGGCUGAUGGGUGAAUUUUCUAUUGAGAGGAACCCCCUCAGCUUUGAACGCAGUAAAGGCAGAAUCCGGCAGGAAA